rnacentral:rRNA from 1 species
GACGAACGCUGGCGGCGUGCCUAAUACAUGCAAGUAGAACGCUGAAGGAGGAGCUUGCUUCUCUGGAUGAGUUGCGAACGGGUGAGUAACGCGUAGGUAACCUGCCUGGUAGCGGGGGAUAACUAUUGGAAACGAUAGCUAAUACCGCAUAAGAGUAGAUGUUGCAUGACAUUUACUUAAAAGGUGCAAUUGCAUCACUACCAGAUGGACCUGCGUUGUAUUAGCUAGUUGGUGAGGUAACGGCUCACCAAGGCAACGAUACAUAGCCGACCUGAGAGGGUGAUCGGCCACACUGGGACUGAGACACGGCCCAGACUCCUACGGGAGGCAGCAGUAGGGAAUCCUCGGCAAUGGACGGAAGUCUGACCGAGCAACGCCGCGUGAGUGAAGAAGGUUUUCGGAUCGUAAAGCUCUGUUGUAAGAGAAGAACGAGUGUGAGAGUGGAAAGUUCACACUGUGACGGUAUCUUACCAGAAAGGGACGGCUAACUACGUG